CCUACGGGAGGCAGCAGUGGGGAAUAUUGGACAAUGGGCGAAAGCCUGAUCCAGCAAUGCCGCGUGAGUGAUGAAGGCCUUAGGGUUGUAAAGCUCUUUUACCAGGGAUGAUAAUGACAGUACCUGGAGAAUAAGCUCCGGCUAACUCCGUGCCAGCAGCCGCGGUAAUACGGAGGGAGCUAGCGUUGUUCGGAAUUACUGGGCGUAAAGCGUACGUAGGCGGUUAUUCAAGUCAGAGGUGAAAGCCUGGAGCUCAACUCCAGAACUGCCUUUGAAACUAGAUAGCUAGAAUCUUGGAGAGGUGAGUGGAAUUCCGAGUGUAGAGGUGAAAUUCGUAGAUAUUCGGAAGAACACCAGUGGCGAAGGCGACUCACUGGACAAGUAUUGACGCUGAGGUACGAAAGCGUGGGGAGCAAACAGGAUUAGAUACCCGUGGUAGUCCACGCCGUAAACGAUGAUAACUAGCUGUUCGGGCUCUACGAGCUUGAGUGGCGCAGCUAACGCAUUAAGUUAUCCGCCGUGGGGAGUACGGUCGCAAGAUUAAAACUCAAAAGGAAUUGACGG
rnacentral:rRNA from 1 species